CUUAACUAGCUUUUGCACAGACAAAGACAGAUCUCCUAUGUAUAAAACUACUGAUUAUUCAUUCAACGAGAAAAAAUCUUCAUGUUCAGGAAACUGGAGAGUCGUAUCACCUCAUCAUGAGAAUGCUUACCCAGAAACAUGCAUUCCUUCACAGAAGAUCAUGUACGCUUCAAGAAACCAAACAACGGAUAUCGCCUUGUUGUUCUUUAAUAGUGUUUGCACAGGAGUGGAUGGUCAACUCCGUACAGUUUUAGAGGUAUCGCCGUUUUUCCUUCAAACCAUGGUGCCUUGUGAUGUAACCAUCGUGGCACGAGAUGGAACCUACAAACAGCAGAUAUUUGCGCAGAUUAUACAGGAG